UGCCAGCCGCCGCGGUAAGACAGAGGGUGCAAACGUUGCUCGGAAUCACUGGGCGUAAAGCGCGUGUAGGCGGAUUUCCAAGUCAGAUGUGAAAGCCCGGGGCUCAACCCCGGAAGUGCAUUGGAAACUGGCGAACUUGAGUACGGGAGAGGAAAGUGGAAUUCCGAGUGUAGGGGUGAAAUCCGUAGAUAUUCGGAGGAACACCAGUGGCGAAGGCGGCUUUCUGGACCGAUACUGACGCUGAGACGCGAAAGCGUGGGGAGCAAACAGGAUUAGAUA
rnacentral:rRNA from 1 species